UCUUUUCCACACUGCGAGACCUCUAGUAGGCGGAUGCCCUUCAGACGUUAAACCCAGCUCUUCUGCAAACAGCCGUCUGUUCCUGGGUGGGGAAGAUCCCCUGGAGGAGGACGUGGCAACCCACUCCAGAUUCUUGCCUGGAGAAUCCCAUGGACAGAGCAGCCUGGCGGGGUACAGUCCACAGGGGUGACUGAACACACAGCACACAAUUCCCCAACCAGGGAUUGAGCCCUGUCCCUCGGCAGUGAGAGCUCAGAGUCCCAACCACUGGACUGCCAGGGAACUCCCAUAUUUUACUAAUUUGUUAAAAAUUGAGUGUGGAAGGAAGAUAAGGGGAGUGCCCGGUCCGGCUGGGAUGGGCCACCGAGACAUGGGUGAUGACAGUGGAGCUCGGGCUCGGAAGUGGCUUGCGUCAGCCUCUGAGCCGGCAGCCAGAUGCUCUUCUUGCUUGAUGGUCAUCAUCCCAGAGGUGGGGAGUCACUGUAGUUUCCACAGAGGACUGACUGUACCAGCUGCUUUGCAUACAUCAUCUAUGAUUCCCUCGGUAUCUCCGCAAGGUUGGUGUUAUUAUCCACAAGUUCCGGAUGGGAGGAAAGACUCAGAGAAGUCAAGGAACACCCUCUGACUCACACAGCUGCUGGCUGGUGCUGACUGACUCCAGGGGCCCCUCUGUCUCCUUGGUGGGUUUCUGAGUGAUCCCAGGAUGUGAAGUAAGAGGGGCCUGUUUCCUCCUGAGCCUCAGAUGUGCACACUGAUCUGUCCCUCAGACCACCAUGAAUUUAGGAUGAGGAGGGUGAGCAGGGAAGUUUCUUCUGAUGGAGGCACAAGGCUUUCCUCAAUCUAAGUCUGGGGUGGAACUGACUCAUGGCCAUGGUUCUGGUUUCCCAACCUGUGGAGUGAGCAUCCUUGACGCUGCACCAGGAGUGAACGAUGGACUGGGAAAUGUAAACUUUGUGUUUUUGGCUACUCUGGGUCUUCCUUGCAGCUUUUCCCCAUUUGUGGCAUAUGGACUCUCGAGGCCUGUUGCCCUGAGGCAUCAGUUCCCCACCAGGGAGCGAACCUGUGUCCCCUGCAUCGGAAGGCAGACUCUUAACCAUCGGACCACCAGGGAAGUCCCUGGGAAAUGUGAACUUUGGAUGAGCUGUCCUAAAGCUCCUCUCUCCUGGUUCUCCCACAGAAUACUAUGGCAGCCUGAGUCCACAUCUCUACCCUUUGACAUCCACUGCUGA
rnacentral:lncRNA from 1 species